rnacentral:rRNA from 1 species
AAAUUGAAGAGUUUGAUCAUGGCUCAGAUUGAACGCUGGCGGCAGGCCUAACACAUGCAAGUCGAACGGUAACAGGAAGCAGCUUGCUGCUUCGCUGACGAGUGGCGGACGGGUGAGUAAUGUCUGGGAAACUGCCUGAUGGAGGGGGAUAACUACUGGAAACGGUGGCUAAUACCGCAUAACGUCGCAAGACCAAAGAGGGGGACCUUCGGGCCUCUUGCCAUCAGAUGUGCCCAGAUGGGAUUAGCUUGUUGGUGAGGUAACGGCUCACCAAGGCGACGAUCCCUAGCUGGUCUGAGAGGAUGACCAGCCACACUGGAACUGAGACACGGUCCAGACUCCUACGGGAGGCAGCAGUGGGGAAUAUUGCACAAUGGGCGCAAGCCUGAUGCAGCCAUGCCGCGUGUAUGAAGAAGGCCUUCGGGUUGUAAAGUACUUUCAGCGGGGAGGAAGGUGUUGUGGCUAAUAACCACAGCAAUUGACGUUACCCGCAGAAGAAGCACCGGCUAACUCCGUGCCAGCAGCCGCGG